AUAUACGGCCAUGCUACCCUGAACAAGCCCAAUCCUGUCUGAUCUCGGAAGCUAAGCAAGGUAGGGCCUGGUUACAAAUUGGAUGGGAGACCACCUAGGAAGACCAGGUGCUAUAGGCA
rnacentral:rRNA from 1 species